rnacentral:lncRNA from 1 species
GUUCCAUCCUGUGGACCUUGAAGUAGGAAUUUAAUCAACUUGAUUCACUCUGCCCUUGACUGGUCCAUUCACAAAAAGAGUGGUGCUCAAAUGAGCUUGAGAAUCUUCUGUCAUGAAGACUGACUGCAGACAAAGCUGGUCUGGGGCAGCACAGAGUGGAUUUACUACACAUCUGAGGUACAAAUCCGACCGUCUCUGGACUAGUAUAAUUCAUUCCACACUGAAAGGAGGAAAGGCAUUAAGCAACAGAAGUGGAAAGAAACUCUCUCUGUUCGAUUUACACACCAUACCUACGACUUCCUCAACAUCAUGAGAGUGCUGGGCACAUGCUGGAAAUGUCCUGCUUGCUCGGCGGUGAGGGUGGUCUCUGUCGUGUCCCCUCCAUACCUCCACUUGAAAGCUGCAC